ensembl:snRNA U6 U6 spliceosomal RNA
GUUCUAGCUUUGGCAGCACAUAUACUAAAAUUAGAACACUAUAGAGAAGAUUAUCAUGGCUCCUGUGCAAGAAUGACAUUCAAAGUCCUGAAGCAUUCCAUAUAUUU